rnacentral:rRNA from 1 species
AGUUUGGUUUUUCUGCUCAUGAGUUUAAUAGCCGCAGUACUUUGACUGUGCUAAGGUAGCAUAAUCAAUUGUCUUUUAAUUGGGGACUAGAAUGAAUGAAUUUAUGGUUAAAUUCUUUAUUUAUAUAUUUUAUUAAAAUUUAUUUAUUAGGUGAAAAUACCUAAAUAUUUUUAUUAGACGAGAAGACCCCAGGAAUUUAAUUUUUUUUAUUGGGGCGAUAUCUAAACAUUAAAAACUUUAGAUUUAUAAUAAAACGAAAAAUUUUAAUUUAAAAUAAAUUACCCUGGGGAUAACAGCAUAAUUUUUUAUAAAGAUUGUGACCUCGAUGUUGGAUUAGAAAAAAAUUUUACUUAAAGAGUAAUUUUUCAUGUUCUGUUCGAACAAUAAUGAUUUUUCUACAUGAUCUGAANAAAAACC